UCCCAGACUCCUACGGGAGGCAGCAGUGGGGAAUAUUGCACAAUGGGGGAAACCCUGAUGCAGCGACGCCGCGUGAGUGAAGAAGUAUUUCGGUAUGUAAAGCUCUAUCAGCAGGGAAGAAAAUGACGGUACCUGACUAAGAAGCCCCGGCUAACUACGUGCCAGCAGCCGCGGUAAUACGUAGGGGGCAAGCGUUAUCCGGAUUUACUGGGUGUAAAGGGAGCGUAGGUGGCAUGGUAAGCCAGAAGUGAAAGCCCGGGGCUCAACCCCGCGGAUUGCUUUUGGAACUAUCAGGCUGGAGUGCUGGAGGGGUAAGCGGAAUUCCUAGUGUAGCGGUGAAAUCCGUAGAUAUCUGGAGGAACAUCAGUGGCGAAGGCGGCCACCUGGACCGGUAUUGACGCUGAGGCGCGAAAGCGUGGGGAGCAAACAGGAUUAGAUACCCUUGUAG
rnacentral:rRNA from 1 species